GACACAUGACAUAUUGUCUUAAGUUGGUAUCAGUAUGUCAGAAUAGGGGGGAAAGAGUUGUCAAUACCUUUUAGUGUGUGAAUCACUUUACCAUGAGGUGAUAUCAAUAUUGCAAAUAUUUUACUUGUGGGUGAUAUCAGCAUGAGAAAAUACUUUACCAUAAGGUAAUAUCAAUAUGGGUUAUUACUUUACCAUAAGGUGAUAUCAAUAUGGGAUAUUACUUUACCAUAAGGGGACAUCAAUA